rnacentral:rRNA from 1 species
GUGGUAACAUUAUGAUUAAGGCACGAUCCAAGUCAGGGACACUGCCAGGUGGGGAGUUUGACUGGGGCGGUACAUCUC